rnacentral:rRNA from 1 species
GGGUUGUGAGGUUAAGCGACCAAGCGUACACGGUGGAUGCCCUGGCAGUCAGAGGCGAUGAAGGACGUGCUAAUCUGCGAAAAGCGCCGGUAAGGUGAUAUGAACCGUUAUAACCGGCGAUGUCCGAAUGGGGAAACCCAGUGUGACUCGUCACACUAUCAUUAACUGAAUCCAUA